CAGUCGCCGCGGUAAUACGUAGGGUGCGAGCGUUAAUCGGAGUUACUGGGCGUAAAGCGUGCGCAGGCGGUUAUAUAAGACAGAUGUGAAAUCCCCGGGCUCAACCUGGGACCUGCAUUUGUGACUGUAUAGCUAGAGUACGGUAGAGGGGGAUGGAAUUCCGCGUGUAGCAGUGAAAUGCGUAGAUAUGCGGAGGAACACCGAUGGCGAAGGCAAUCCCCUGGACCUGUACUGACGCUCAUGCACGAAAGCGUGGGGAGCAAACAGGAUUAGAUACCCCCGUAGUCCCUGUCUCUUAUAC
rnacentral:rRNA from 1 species